CCGCCCCACCCCGCUCCGCCCCAAAUGAGGUUCUGUUCGUUCAGCUCCGGCCCGCUUUCGGCAGAGGCCCCGCCCACUCUCGGCGGAGGCUCGGUCUGCCCCCUGGCAGCGGCCUCGCUGGACAGAGCCGGGAGUUCCAGGGAGCCUCCCAGGCCCCUCCUGACAGCGCCUACUUUGAGCCCUUGGGCCAGCCUGGGCGGUAUCAGUCCAGGCCUCUCCCGGCAUGAGGCGGCCUCUUCUUGGCUCUGCAUCCCUACCUGAUUCCUGUCACACACAACCUGUGGCCCAGCCUGGGUUUGCUCUACCUUGGCUCCCUAAAGGUUUGGAGGGGAUCUGGGGCCAGGGCACCUGGGGGCCUACCCAGGCAAUGGCCUGCCAGCUUCAGCUGCAGAAAACUCCACGGGCUUAGAGGUGGGUGAGUCAUUCCCCCAAGGAACAGGAAGAGGACCAUUGAAGGUGACCCAUAAAUACACCAGCUGGCUGGGAGGGGUUAGACUUUAAUUCAUAACCACAAAUCUCACACUCAAAAUUCUGUGCUUCCCUUUGUGAGCAAGGCCACCUUCUAGGAAAGCAAGUUUUUCUCUUUUCUUCCCCAGAUGUGCUCCUGCUCUACCGUGGGUUCCCUUUGCAGCAUCGGGCCUCCCUGACCACACCCUAUGGAAUUCCCAUGAGAAACCCUUAACCCCACCACCCCACUAUCUCCCCACAGCAUCUCCCUUUUACACCUGCCCUUUUCUUUGCUACAGAUUGGGUGCCUGUGGCACCUCAGACUUCAUCCCUAAGGGAACUCCCCCUACUGACCACAUUGUUCUCCCAGCUUUUACCCCAGGUUGGAAUCUGCUCCAAACCAUCUGGCCUGACCUGGUCACCUCCCCCAACCUUAAAAGGUUUAGCUCAGUGAGUUUGGGCAUUCACAUUCUGCAUCUUCCAGAUACUGGGCCUGGAGCAGGCCUGGGAGAUACUCUUGGAGACAUCGGACCAUCUUUCAUGGUUUGAGUGUGUUCACCUGGCACCUGCGACCAUAUCAGGCAGUCUGUGCUCACAAUGUGAUUGAUAGUGGAACCUGGAGCCAUGCAGUGUCACCUUGAUCUCUGGAGGGGCUGGAGACUGAGGUCAGACACUCAUGACCAGCUAUUGCCGAAGUGGCAGAACCCAGUAAAAUCAUGGACACCAGGGCUGGUGGCACUUGUGCACACUGUCAUGCCAUUGCUGGAAUCUGUGCACAUUGUUCAAUGACUGAGAGAACCUCUGGACAUCCACACCUGUCCUUGCCUGGUAUUUCAUGAAUUUCCCAGAGAAAUGUAGAAGAAACAUCUGCUUCCACACUGAGAAGGCUCUGACAAUCCAAAGAAUGACUUGGUCAGGUCCACCUUGGCAAGUUCAGCAUCCCAAUUAGCUGGAAGCACAGAUGCUGCCGCUGACCAGCCGGCUCUUCUCUGAGAUGUAGUUAUAGAUGAACUGAAGGUGCCAUGUAAUACAUCUUUCUCCAGAGGACUUUGUCCACUUGUGACAUGGUGAAUUGCCCACGUACUAAAGCUGCUUUAGCCUGGACUAAGAUCCUAGACUACCUUUGUGGAUGCUCAUCAAGGUUGAGAGCAGUAUGCUCCUAGGAUGUAGUCAUUAAAGUUUUUGUUGUUGUUGUUUUUUGUUUUUUUAAAGUGG